rnacentral:rRNA from 1 species
AUUGAACGCUGGCGGCAUGCCUUACACAUGCAAGUCGAACGGCAGCACGGAGCUUGCUCUGGUGGCGAGUGGCGAACGGGUGAGUAAUAUAUCGGAACGUACCCUGGAGUGGGGGAUAACGUAGCGAAAGUUACGCUAAUACCGCAUACGAUCUAAGGAUGAAAGUGGGGGAUCGCAAGACCUCAUGCUCGUGGAGCGGCCGAUAUCUGAUUAGCUAGUUGGUAGGGUAAAAGCCUACCAAGGCAUCGAUCAGUAGCUGGUCUGAGAGGACGACCAGCCACACUGGAACUGAGACACGGUCCAGACUCCUACGGGAGGCAGCAGUGGGGAAUUUUGGACAAUGGGCGCAGGCCUGAUCCAGCAAUGCCGCGUGAGUGAAGAAGGCCUUCGGGUUGUAAAGCUCUUUUGUCAGGGAAGAAACGGUGGAGGCUAAUAUCCUUUGCUAAUGACGGUACCUGAAGAAUAAGCACCGGCUAACUACGUGCCAGCAGCCGCGGUAAUACGUAGGGUGCAAGCGUUAAUCGGAAUUACUGGGCGUAAAGCGUGCGCAGGCGGUUUUGUAAGUCUGAUGUGAAAUCCCCGGGCUCAACCUGGGAAUUGCAUUGGAGACUGCAAGGCUAGAAUCUGGCAGAGGGGGGUAGAAUUCCACGUGUAGCAGUGAAAUGCGUAGAUAUGUGGAGGAACACCGAUGGCGAAGGCAGCCCCCUGGGUCAAGAUUGACGCUCAUGCACGAAAGCGUGGGGAGCAAACAGGAUUAGAUACCCUGGUAGUCCACGCCCUAAACGAUGUCUACUAGUUGUCGGGUCUUAAUUGACUUGGUAACGCAGCUAACGCGUGAAGUAGACCGCCUGGGGAGUACGGUCGCAAGAUUAAAACUCAAAGGAAUUGACGGGGACCCGCACAAGCGGUGGAUGAUGUGGAUUAAUUCGAUGCAACGCGAAAAACCUUACCUACCCUUGACAUGGCUGGAAUCCCCGAGAGAUUGGGGAGUGCUCGAAAGAGAGCCAGCACACAGGUGCUGCAUGGCUGUCGUCAGCUCGUGUCGUGAGAUGUUGGGUUAAGUCCCGCAACGAGCGCAACCCUUGUCAUUAGUUGCUACGAAAGGGCACUCUAAUGAGACUGCCGGUGACAAACCGGAGGAAGGUGGGGAUGACGUCAAGUCCUCAUGGCCCUUAUGGGUAGGGCUUCACACGUCAUACAAUGGUACAUACAGAGCGCCGCCAACCCGCGAGGGGGAGCUAAUCGCAGAAAGUGUAUCGUAGUCCGGAUUGUAGUCUGCAACUCGACUGCAUGAAGUUGGAAUCGCUAGUAAUCGCGGAUCAGCAUGUCGCGGUGAAUACGUUCCCGGGUCU